GUCACUUUGACGGAGUGGUUAACGUGCGCCCCUGCUAUCCCACCCGUCUCCUCUUCAACAAGGGACGUGCAUGCAUACUAGGCCGUGUCUUCGGACGCACAGGUUCGAAUCCUGUAGGUGAUG